GACGAACGCUGGCGGCGUGCUUAACACAUGCAAGUCGAGCGAUGAAGUUCCUUCGGGAACGGAUUAGCGGCGGACGGGUGAGUAACACGUGGGCAACCUGCCUCAUAGAGGGGAAUAGCCUUCCGAAAGGAAGAUUAAUACCGCAUAAGAUUGUAAUGCCGCAUGGCAUAGCAAUUAAAGGAGCAAUCCGCUAUGAGAUGGACCCGCGUCGCAUUAGCUAGUUGGUGAGGUAACGGCUCACCAAGGCGACGAUGCGUAGCCGACCUGAGAGGGUGAUCGGCCACAUUGGGACUGAGACACGGCCCAGACUCCUACGGGAGGCAGCAGUGGGGAAUAUUGCACAAUGGGGGAAACCCUGAUGCAGCAACGCCGCGUGAGUGAUGACGGUCUUCGGAUUGUAAAGCUCUGUCUUCAGGGACGAUAAUGACGGUACCUGAGGAGGAAGCCACGGCUAACUACGUGCCAGCAGCCGCCGUAA
rnacentral:rRNA from 1 species